GAUGAACGCUGGCGGCGUGCCUAAUACAUGCAAGUCGAACGAAACUUCUUUAUCACCGAGUGCUUGCACUCACCGAUAAAGAGUUGAGUGGCGAACGGGUGAGUAACACGUGGGCAACCUGCCCAAAAGAGGGGGAUAACACUUGGAAACAGGUGCUAAUACCGCAUAACCAUAGUUACCGCAUGGUAACUAUGUAAAAGGUGGCUAUACUACCGCUUUUGGAUGGGCCCGCGGCGCAUUAGCUAGUUGGUAGGGUAAAGGCUUACCAAGGCAAUGAUGCGUAGCCGAAUUGAGAGGUGGAGCGGCCACAUUGGGACUGAGACACGGCCCAAACUCCUACGGGAGGCAGCAGUAGGGAAUCUUCCACAAUGGGCGAAAGCCUGAUGGAGCAACGCCGCGUGGGUGAAGAAGGUCUUCGGAUCGUAAAACCCUGUUGUUAGAGAAGAAAGUGCGUGAGAGUAACUGUUCACGUUUCGACGGUAUCUAACCAGAAAGCCACGGCUAACUACGUG
rnacentral:rRNA from 1 species